GUCUACAGCCAUGCCACCCUGAACAAGCCUGAUCCCGUCUGAUCUCAGAAACUAAGCAGGGUCGGGCCUGGUUAGUACUUGGAUGGGAGACCACCUAGGAAGACCAGGUGCUGUAGGCA
rnacentral:rRNA from 1 species